rnacentral:rRNA from 1 species
UAGAAGCCGAUGAAGGACGUUACUAACGACGAUAUGCUUUGGGGAGCUGUAAGUAAGCUUUGAUCCAGAGAUUUCCGAAUGGGGAAACCCAGCAUGAGUUAUGUCAUGUUAUCGAUAUGUGAAUACAUAGCAUAUCAGAAGGCACACCCGGAGAACUGAAACAUCUUAGUACCCGGAGGAAGAGAAAGAAAAUUCGAUUCCCUUAGUAGCGGCGAGCGAAACGGGAAGAGCCCAAACCAACAAGCUUGCUUGUUGGGGUUGUAGGACACUCUAUACGGAGUUACAAAGGACGACAUUAGACGAAUCAUCUGGAAAGAUGAAUCAAAGAAGGUAAUAAUCCUGUAGUCGAAAAUGUUGUCUCUCUUGAGUGGAUCCUGAGUACGACGGAGCACGUGAAAUUCCGUCGGAAUCUGGGAGGACCAUCUCCUAAGGCUAAAUACUCUCUAGUGACCGAUAGUGAACCAGUACCGUGAGGGAAAGGUGAAAAGCACCCCGGAAGGGGAGUGAAAUAGAACCUGAAACCGUGUGCUUACAAGUAGUCAGAGCCCGUUAAUGGGUGAUGGCGUGCCUUUUGUAGAAUGAACCGGCGAGUUACGAUUUGAUGCAAGGUUAAGCAGUAAAUGUGGAGCCGUAGCGAAAGCGAGUCUGAAUAGGGCGUUUAGUAUUUGGUCGUAGACCCGAAACCAGGUGAUCUACCCUUGGUCAGGUUGAAGUUCAGGUAACACUGAAUGGAGGACCGAACCGACUUACGUUGAAAAGUGAGCGGAUGAACUGAGGGUAGCGGAGAAAUUCCAAUCGAACCUGGAGAUAGCUGGUUCUCUCCGAAAUAGCUUUAGGGCUAGCCUCAAGUGAUGAUUAUUGGAGGUAGAGCACUGUUUGGACGAGGGGCCCCUCUCGGGUUACCGAAUUCAGACAAACUCCGAAUGCCAAUUAAUUUAACUUGGGAGUCAGAACAUGGGUGAUAAGGUCCGUGUUCGAAAGGGAAACAGCCCAGACCACCAGCUAAGGUCCCAAAAUAUAUGUUAAGUGGAAAAGGAUGUGGCGUUGCCCAGACAACUAGGAUGUUGGCUUAGAAGCAGCCAUCAUUUAAAGAGUGCGUAAUAGCUCACUAGUCGAGUGACACUGCGCCGA